rfam:Felis catus isolate Cinnamon breed Abyssinian chromosome C2, whole genome shotgun sequence.
GCCUGGGUGGCUCAGUCGUUUAAGCUUCAGACUUUGGCUCAGGUCAUGAUCUCAUGGUUCGUGGGUUCAAACCCCACAUUGGGCU